ACGCUGGCGGCACGCCUAAUACAUGCAAGUCGAACGGAGUAGCAAUACUUAGUGGCAGACGGGUGAGUAACAUGUGGGUAUCUUCCCUUUGGUGAGGAAUAACACGAGGAAACUUGUGCUAAUACCUCAUAAGUCUUUACGGAGAAAGCUUUAUGCGCCAUUGGAUGAGCCCGCACUUGAUUAGUUUGUUGGUGGGGUAAAAGCCUACCAAGACUGUGAUCAAUAGCUGAUUUGAGAGGAUGAUCAGCCACAUUGGGACUGAGACACGGCCCAAACUCCUACGGGAGGCAGCAGUAGGGAAUCUUGCACAAUGGAGGAAACUCUGAUGCAGCGAUGCCGCGUGAGUGAAGAAGGCCUUUGGGUUGUAAAGCUCUUUCGUCGGGGAAGAAAAUGACUGUACCCGAAUAAGAAGGUCCGGCUAACUUCGUGCCAGCAGCCGCGGUAAUACGAAGGGACCUAGCGUAGUUCGGAAUUACUGGGCUUAAAGAGUUCGUAGGUGGUUAAAAAAGUUGGUGGUGAAAGCCCAGAGCUUAACUCUGGAACUGCCAUCAAAACUUUUUAGCUAGAGUAUGAUAGAGGAAAGCAGAAUUUCUAGUGUAGAGGUGAAAUUCGUAGAUAUUAGAAAGAAUACCAAUUGCGAAGGCAGCUUUCUGGAUCAUUACUGACACUGAGGAACGAAAGCAUGGGUAGCGAAGAGGAUUAGAUACCCUCGUAGUCCAUGCCGUAAACGAUGUGUGUUAGAUGUUGGAAAUUUAUUUUCAGUAUCGCAGCGAAAGCGAUAAACACACCGCCUGGGGAGUACG
rnacentral:rRNA from 1 species